rnacentral:rRNA from 1 species
GACGAACGCUGGCGGCGUGCUUAACACAUGCAAGUCGAACGGCAAGGCCUGCUUUCCCUUGUGGAUUGCGGGUACUCGGGUGGCGAACGGGUGAGUAACACGUGAGUGAUCUGCCCCCAACUUGGGUCUAAGCCUGGGAUACUGGGUCUAAUUCCCGAUAGGACUGCAGGGUGGUGCCUGUGGUGGAAAACGAUUUUCUAGUGGUUGGGGAUGAGCUAGCGGCCAAUCAGCUUGUUGGUGGGGUAAUGGCCUACCAAGGCGGCGACGGGUAGCCGGACUGAGAGGGGGGACGGCGACAUUGGGACUGAGAUACGGCCCAGACUCCUACGGGAGGCAGCAGUGGGGAGUAUAGCAGAAUAGGCGGAAGCCUGAUGCAGCGACGCCGCGUAGGAGAUGUCGGCCUUCGGGUGGUAAACUGCUGUCGACCGAGAGGAAGCCACCUGGUUGGAAGUGUUGUGACGGUAGUGGUAGAAGAAGCACCGGCUAACUACGUG